UACGUAGGGUGCAAGCGUUAAUCGGAAUUACUGGGCGUAAAGCGUGCGCAGGCGGUUGUGCAAGACAGAUGUGAAAUCCCCGGGCUUAACCUGGGAACUGCAUUUGUGACUGCAUAGCUGGAGUGCGGCAGAGGGGGAUGGAAUUCCGCGUGUAGCAGUGAAAUGCGUAGAUAUGCGGAGGAACACCGAUGGCGAAGGCAAUCCCUGGGCCUGCACUGACGCUCGAUGCACGAAAGCGUGGGGAGCAAACAGG
rnacentral:rRNA from 1 species